CCAUGCGAUCCAAAGUUGCCCG
rnacentral:siRNA from 1 species